GAUCCUGGCUCAGGAUGAACGCUAGCGACAGGCCUAACACAUGCAAGUCGAGGGGCAACAUGGUGUCAGCUUGCUGAUACCGAUGGCGACCGGCGCACGGGUGAGUAACGCGUAUGUAAUCUACCUGUAACAGAGGGAUAACCCGGAGAAAUCCGGACUAAUACCUCAUAGCACAUAUUAUUCGCAUGAAUUUUAUGUUAAAGAAUUUCGGUUAUCGAUGGGGAUGCGUUCCAUUUAG
rnacentral:rRNA from 1 species